UUCGCAAUGCCCGAAAGGGUGACGAAGCAACGCCGCGUGGGUGAGGAAGGCCCUCGGGUUGUAAAGCCCUGUCAGGAGUUAAGAAAUGUAAGUGCGCUAAUAUCGCAUUUAUUUAACGAAGGCUCCAAAGGAAGUCACGGCUAACUCUGUGCCAGCAGCCGCGGUAAUACAGAGGUGGCAAGCGUUGUUCGGAAUUAUUGGGCGUAAAGAGCACGUAGGUGGGUUUGUAAGUCAGAUGUGAAAGCCUUCUGUUCAACGGAAGAAUUGCAUCUGAAACUGCGAGUCUUGAGUGUAGGAGGGGAGAAUGGAACUUCUGGUGGAGCGGUGAAAUGCGUAGAUAUCAGAAGGAACGCCGGCGGCGAAAGCGAUUCUCUGGCCUAUUACUGACACUCAGUGUGCGAAAGCUAGGGGAGCAAACGGGAUUAGAUACCCCGGUAGUCCUAGCCGUAAACGAUGGGCACUAAGUAGAGGGGUUUU
rnacentral:rRNA from 1 species